GCCGGGCGUGGUGGCGGGCCCCUGUAGUUCCAGCUACUCAGGAGGCUGAGGCAGGAGAAUCGCUUGAACCCAGGAGGUUCCAGUGAGCUGAGAUCGUGCCACUGCUCUCUGGCCUGGGUGACAGAGCGAGACUCUGUCUCAA
rnacentral:SRP_RNA from 1 species